rnacentral:rRNA from 1 species
ACUAAUCCUAGCCUGUCCUUUACAAAAUACAAAUAUAUUACAAUAAUAAAAUAAAACAUUCACAAUAAAAAGUAUAGGAGAUAGAAAUUUAUAUAAGCGCCAUAGAGGUAGUACCGUAAGGGAAAGAUGAAAGAAGAACAAUUAAAGUAAAAAAUAGCAUAGAUUAAACCUAGUACCUUUUGCAUAAUGAAUUAACUAGACAAACUUUGACAAAAAGAACUUAAGUCAAAAGCCCCGAAACCAAACGAGCUACUUUUAAACAGCUAAAAUAUUGAGCAAACUCAUCUAUGUGGCAAAAUAGUGAGAAGAUUUAAAAGUAGAGGUGAAAAGCCAACCGAGCUUGGAGAUAGCUGGUUAUCCAAAUAAGAACUUCAGUUCAACUUUAAGAUUUUCUUUCCUAAAAAUCAUAAAAUUCAAAUGAAAUCUUAAAUGUUAAAUUAAGGAGGGACAGCUCCUUAAAUAAGGAUACAUCCUUAAACAGAGGGUAAAAAAUAUACCUACCAUUGUAGGCCUAAAAGCAGCCAUCAAUUAAGAAAGCGUUCAAGCUCAAUAAAAUAAUUAAUAAUAUCCCUAAAACAUACAAUAAACCCCUGUAAAAACAAUUGGAUCAAUCUAUAAAAAUAUAGAAGUGACAAUGUUAAUAUUAGUAAUUAGAAUUAUUUCUCCUUGCACAAGUAUAAGUUGAAUAUCUAACUAAUUAACAAUUUUAUAAAAAAUUUAACUAAUAAGUUUAAUAUUAAAAACUUUGUAAACCCAACUCAGGAGUGCAAUAAAGGAAAGACUAAAAUAAGUAAAAGGAACUCGGCAAACAUAAACCCCGCCUGUUUACCAAAAACAUCACCUCUAGCAUUACAAGUAUUAGAGGCACUGCCUGCCCAGUGACAACUCAACGUUAAACGGCCGCGGUAUCCUGACCGUGCAAAGGUAGCAUAAUCACUUGUUCUUUAAAUAAGGACUAGUAUGAAAGGCUAAACGAGGGUUUGACUGUCUCUUCCUUAUAGUCAAUGAAAUUGACCUCUCCGUGAAGAGGCGGAGAUUGAAAAAUAAGACGAGAAGACCCUAUGGAGCUUAAAUAAAAUAAUUCAACUCCUACUAUAAACAAUCAAUAAGAGAUAAAAAUAUAGGAUUAAUGAAUUAACUAUUUUGGUUGGGGUGACCUCGGAGUAUAACCUAACCUCCGAAUGAUAUUAACCUAGACAUACAAGUCAAAGAUACUAUCAUAAAUUGACCCAGAAAUCAUCUGAUCAACGAACCAAGUUACCCUAGGGAUAACAGCGCAAUCCUAUUAUAGAGUUCAUAUCGACAAUAGGGUUUACGACCUCGAUGUUGGAUCAGGACAUCCAAAUGGUGCAACCGCUAUUAAAGGUUCGUUUGUUCAACGAUUAAAGUCCUACGUGAUCUGAGUUCAGACCGGAGUAAUCCAGGUCGGUUUCUAUCUAUUAAAUAUUUCUCCCAGUACGAAAGGACAAGAGAAAUGAGGCCUAUAGGUCAUCUAUGCCUUAGUGGUAAAGGAAUGAUAUUAUAUUAAUUCCUUAACCACUAGUAAAUCACAACCCGAGAUAAGGGUUU